UGAAGUUUCUUUCUUGAUGUAAAGCCA
rnacentral:piRNA from 1 species